UAUAUCGCAAUGAGAGAGAAAAAAAAGAAUAAACCUAAAUCUAUCUUCUUCUUCGCUCUUCCUCACCCUCUCUUCUUAUCUUGCCAUGAAAUUACACAGAGAUCUGAAGAAAUAUUAAGAAUUUCCUUAGUUUUGUGGGGUUUUCACUUGAUUCAUUGUUGAACUCUCUCGAUCUAAUGAAUUUAAAGAUAAGUGCGUUUCUCUAUACUUUGUUCUUUUAUUUUGUUCCCCCUUUAAAGAUUGCUUCAAUUUCAUUGAAACAUUUUCUGUUGUUAGGGAUCAGCUUCUCUUAAGUCUCCACUUGCCAGUGCUAGUUCAAUUUGAAAGCAUUGAGGGACCAUCUUCUCCUAAGUCUCCACUUGCUGUGCUAGUUCUUUCGAAAACAUUGAGGAAUCAGAUAAUGUGGAUUUGACUGGCAAUGGAGAUGCUGUGUUUAAUUUGAUGGUGGAAGAUCUAGUACAGACGAUUGUCACGGUUUUGAAGUCAUCGAUUAUGUGUAGAGUUUUGCCUUUUGAGAAAGAGGAGUUUCUACAGAUUGGGAGUUCGAUAUCGAGGUUUGAUUGCGAAGAGUUGGUUAAAGCUUGUUUGGAUAUUAUUGGGAGACUAGAAGAACAUCAUGGAACCCUUUCACAUAUGUUCUUUCGUUCUGUGCUGAGACUGACAGCAUUAGCUUCGUCUCAUCAGAUCUUGUCCUCAUUUCCAUAUACCAGCAGCGAAGUAUCUAUUGAACAAUGAUAUGACAAGCAUGAUGUGGAAAGGGUUCCCAUGAUCUUCAGAUCUUCUGAAGAAAACGUGCCUACUAUGAAAGAGGGCUUGCUUUCUUCUUCGUGAUAGAACUUUUGUGUUGUAAUUAUAUCCUUUUCUCUGGUAUCUCAUUAUUCAGGUCAGACCUGAACCAAUUGAGCUUUCGGGGAUUUUACACCGUGCUUUUGGAGCGAAACAAUGAGCUCAUCUCUGUGGCAGCAGUUAGGAUACACGAUGAAAAGCUCGCAGAAGUACCGCUUGUUUGUACACGUGUUCAAUAUCGUAGGCAAGGGAUGAGUCGCAUUCUAUUUGAUGUUCUUGAAGAGAAGCUCAGAGAAUUAGAAGUGGAGAGAGUGAUUUUACCUAUACCUCAAGUGCUACACACAUGGUCGACUUUCUUAGGUUUCUCUAAGUUGACAAAAUCUGAGAGCUUAGAGUUUCUUCAAUACACUUUUCAAGAUUUCCAGGACACCAGAACGUGCCAGAAAUUCCUUAGGAUGUCGCCAAUAACAGACAUACCAAGAGGUGCAUAAUUUUCCCCUUAUUCCAACAAAUGUAAUGAAUCUCAUCUGAACUCAGAUUUACACACCUUUAUUCUUGCUCUGGGACACGGAAAUGAUGUAUAAACAACUCUUUUCAACAGAAUUACCGAGACAAUCAAAUGCAGAUGCACCACGGUUAGUUGGUACAUGUACUCAUGUAGAUGCUCUUGUUGCUACAGUAAUUCAAGCAGAACGACUUGAAUGGAGUCAAGUUGCAGAGAAACAGCUAGGACUAGAGUAUGCUUUUCAUUCUAGUAGAAUAGAAAUGACCUUCCCACACAAGCGUACUUCUGAUGUUUUUAAAACGGUAAAAUAUGCUUUUUAUUUGCAUAUAUGUAAGUUUCAAAGCUUUGUAAAACUUUGUUAUAUAUGAAUAUAAGUUCAAUGGAUAACUUUCUAAAACUUUGUUAUAUAUGAAGUUUCUAUCUAAGAUUUAUGUUUUGAG